rnacentral:rRNA from 1 species
AAUGAACGCUGGCGGCGUGCCUAACACAUGCAAGUCGAGCGAGAAAGUCUCUUCGGAGAUAAGUACAGCGGCGGACGGGUGAGUAACGCGUGAGAAUUUACCCUUUAGUGAGGAAUACCUCUGAGAAAUCAGGGUUAAUACUGCAUACGUCCCUACGGGAGAAAGGUGGCCUCUUUGCUGCCGCUAAAGGAUAAGCUUGCGUACUAUUAGCUAGUUGGUGAGGUAAAGGCUCACCAAGGCGAUGAUGGUUAGCCGGCCUGAGAGGGUGUACGGCCACACUGGAACUUAGACACGGUCCAGACUCCUACGGGAGGCAGCAGUGAGGAAU